UACGUAGGGUGCAAGCGUUAAUCGGAAUUACUGGGCGUAAAGCGUGCGCAGGCGGUUUUGUAAGUCUGUCGUGAAAUCCCCGGGCUCAACCUGGGAAUUGCGAUGGAGACUGCAAGGCUAGAAUCUGGCAGAGGGGGGUAGAAUUCCACGUGUAGCAGUGAAAUGCGUAGAGAUGUGGAGGAACACCGAUGGCGAAGGCAGCCCCCUGGGUCAAGAUUGACGCUCAUGCACGAAAGCGU
rnacentral:rRNA from 1 species